AUAUAUUUUUCAACAUAGGCAUCCAAGCAUUUACCCUCUAAUGGUGAUCCACACAGAGACUGGAUCAAGACACAAGCUCCUUCAAGAUUUUUCUUCACUAAUUUGGGCAGCACAAUACUCCUUUUGUGUUUUCCUGAACACCCUCCUCCCUUGGCUUGUCUUUCUUUAUCUUUCUUAUCUCUUUAUCUUCCUUUACUAUCUUUCUAAGCCCUUCUCCUAAAUCAGACUUGCCCUUACAAUAUUUGGACUUAUCCUAACAAGGGAAGGAAGAAAGAAAUUGGACAAUCCAGAGAUGAAUGUAAGAAAGAAGAGAUGACUUCUGCAUGCCAAAACACCGAAGACUCCAUGCUAUUUAUAAUUAGCGUGGAGACGCAUAUCAAUGUGUGCCAUCCAAUCCACAUGCCCCAUAUUGAUUUUUAGAGAUCUUUCCAUGUUCUAAACCAAGAAAAAGUCAUAUCUGAUAAGAGUCCUUCGGCAGGUGAAACUCUCUUAUCAGAUAUGAUAUUUUAUUCUUCUCUCGCGCACGCCCAAUAAAAGAUGCGAUAAGCAACUAUUCAUUGAUCAAAUUAUUUUUAGAUUUUUACACAUGAAAACUUCCUUAAAUGUUUAAAAACCAAAAAAUUAUCUGAUAUAAGUGGCACCUAAAAGACUUAAAGCAG
rnacentral:lncRNA from 1 species